AACACUGUUAACCUGCGGUACCUGCGGAAGGAUCAUUACAGAGUGUUUAACCCCCUAUAAAAUGGUGGGUCUAACCUCCCGUCCUUUGCUGGGUCCCCCUUCUGGAGGACUUUCAAAACUUUCUGCUUCGGCGGGGUACACCCGCCGGAACACCCUCAAAAAAUUCUUGAUCAAAAUGGUUCGGUCCGAGAAACUUUUUGUGAAAAUUAGCGAAAAACUUUUAACAACGGAUCUCAGAUC
rnacentral:misc_RNA from 1 species